CAGUAGCCGCGGUAAUACGUAGGUCCCGAGCGUUGUCCGGAUUUAUUGGGCGUAAAGCGAGCGCAGGCGGUUAGAUAAGUCUGAAGUUAAAGGCUGUGGCUUAACCAUAGUACGCUUUGGAAACUGUUUAACUUGAGUGCAAGAGGGGAGAGUGGAAUUCCAUGUGUAGCGGUGAAAUGCGUAGAUAUAUGGAGGAACACCGGUGGCGAAAGCGGCUCUCUGGCUUGUAACUGACGCUGAGGCUCGAAAGCGUGGGGCGCAAACAGGAUUAGAUACCCGCGUAGUCCCUGUCUCUUAUACA
rnacentral:rRNA from 1 species